rnacentral:rRNA from 1 species
CGGGUGCACUGAUCCGGCCGGGCCUUUCCCUCUGUGGAACCCCAUGGCCUUCACUGGCUGUGCGGGGGAAACAGGACUUUUACUGUGAAAAAAUUAGAGUGCUCCAGGCAGGCCUAUGCUCGAAUACAUUAGCAUGGAAUAAUAGAAUAGGACGCGUGGUUCUAUUUUGUUGGUUUCUAGGACCGCCGUAAUGAUUAAUAGGGACAGUCGGGGGCAUCAGUAUUCAAUUGUCAGAGGUGAAAUUCUUGGAUCUAUUGAAGACUAACUACUGCGAAAGCAUUUGCCAAGGAUGUUUUCAUUGAUAAGGAACGAAAGUUAGGGAAUCGAAGACGAUCAGAUACCGUCGUAGUCUUAACUAUAAACUAUGCCGACUAGGGAUCGGACGAUGUUAUUUCUUGACGCGUUCGGCACCUUUCGAGAAAUCAAAGUGCUUGGGCUCCAGGGGGAGUAUGGUCGCAAGGCUGAAACUUAAAGAAAUUGACGGAAGGGCACCACCAGGGGUGGAACCUGCGGCUUAAUUUGACUCAACACGGGGAAACUCACCAGGUCCAGACACAGUGAGGAUUGACAGAUUGAGAGCUCUUUCUUGAUUCUGUGGGUGGUGGUGCAUGGCCGUUCUUAGUUGGUGGAGUGAUUUGUCUGCUUAAUUGCGAUAACGAACGAGACCUUAACCUGCUAAAUAGCCCGUACUGCUCUGGCAGUUCGCCGGCUUCUUAGAGGGACUAUCGG